rnacentral:rRNA from 1 species
UUAAGCGACUAAGCGUACACGGUGGAUGCCCUGGCAGUCAGAGGCGAUGAAGGACGUGCUAAUCUGCGAUAAGCGUCGGUGAGGUGAUAUGAACCGUUAUAACCGGCGAUUUCCGAAUGGGGAAACCCAGUGUGUUUCGACACACUAUCAUUAACUGAAUCCAUAGGUUAAUGAGGCGAACCGGGGGAACUGAAACAUCUAAGUACCCCGAGGAAAAGAAAUCAACCGAGAUUCCCCCAGUAGCGGCGAGCGAACGGGGAGGAGCCCAGAGCCUGAAUCAGUGUGUGUGUUAGUGGAAGCGUCUGGAAAGGCGCGCGAUACAGGGUGACAGCCCCGUACACAAAAAUGCACAUAUUGUGAGCUCGAUGAGUAGGGCGGGACACGUGGUAUCCUGUCUGAAUAUGGGGGGACCAUCCUCCAAGGCUAAAUACUCCUGACUGACCGAUAGUGAACCAGUACCGUGAGGGAAAGGCGAAAAGAACCCCGGCGAGGGGAGUGAAAAAGAACCUGAAACCGUGUACGUACAAGCAGUGGGAGCCUCUUAAUGGGGUGACUGCGUACCUUUUGUAUAAUGGGUCAGCGACUUAUAUUCUGUAGCAAGGUUAACCGAAUAGGGGAGCCGAAGGGAAACCGAGUCUUAACUGGGCGUUAAGUUGCAGGGUAUAGACCCGAAACCCGGUGAUCUAGCCAUGGGCAGGUUGAAGGUUGGGUAACACUAACUGGAGGACCGAACCGACUAAUGUUGAAAAAUUAGCGGAUGACUUGUGGCUGGGGGUGAAAGGCCAAUCAAACCGGGAGAUAGCUGGUUCUCCCCGAAAGCUAUUUAGGUAGCGCCUCGUGAAUUCAUCUCCGGGGGUAGAGCACUGUUUCGGCAAGGGGGUCAUCCCGACUUACCAACCCGAUGCAAACUGCGAAUACCGGAGAAUGUUAUCACGGGAGACACACGGCGGGUGCUAACGUCCGUCGUGAAGAGGGAAACAACCCAGACCGCCAGCUAAGGUCCCAAAGUCAUGGUUAAGUGGGAAACGAUGUGGGAAGGCCCAGACAGCCAGGAUGUUGGCUUAGAAGCAGCCAUCAUUUAAAGAAAGCGUAAUAGCUCACUGGUCGAGUCGGCCUGCGCGGAAGAUGUAACGGGGCUAAACCAUGCACCGAAGCUGCGGCAGCGACACUAUGUGUUGUUGGGUAGGGGAGCGUUCUGUAAGCCUGUGAAGGUGUCCUGUGAGGUUUGCUGGAGGUAUCAGAAGUGCGAAUGCUGACAUAAGUAACGAUAAAGCGGGUGAAAAGCCCGCUCGCCGGAAGACCAAGGGUUCCUGUCCAACGUUAAUCGGGGCAGGGUGAGUCGACCCCUAAGGCGAGGCCGAAAGGCGUAGUCGAUGGGAAACAGGUUAAUAUUCCUGUACUUGGUGUUACUGCGAAGGGGGGACGGAGAAGGCUAUGUUGGCCGGGCGACGGUUGUCCCGGUUUAAGCGUGUAGGCUGGUUUUCCAGGCAAAUCCGGAAAAUCAAGGCUGAGGCGUGAUGACGAGGCACUACGGUGCUGAAGCGACAAAUGCCCUGCUUCCAGGAAAAGCCUCUAAGCAUCAGGUAACAUCAAAUCGUACCCCAAACCGACACAGGUGGUCAGGUAGAGAAUACCAAGGCGCUUGAGAGAACUCGGGUGAAGGAACUAGGCAAAAUGGUGCCGUAACUUCGGGAGAAGGCACGCUGAUAUGUAGGUGAAGCGACUUGCUCGUGGAGCUGAAAUCAGUCGAAGAUACCAGCUGGCUGCAACUGUUUAUUAAAAACACAGCACUGUGCAAACACGAAAGUGGACGUAUACGGUGUGACGCCUGCCCGGUGCCGGAAGGUUAAUUGAUGGGGUUAGCGGUAACGCGAAGCUCUUGAUCGAAGCCCCGGUAAACGGCGGCCGUAACUAUAACGGUCCUAAGGUAGCGAAAUUCCUUGUCGGGUAAGUUCCGACCUGCACGAAUGGCGUAAUGAUGGCCAGGCUGUCUCCACCCGAGACUCAGUGAAAUUGAACUCGCUGUGAAGAUGCAGUGUACCCGCGGCAAGACGGAAAGACCCCGUGAACCUUUACUAUAGCUUGACACUGAACAUUGAGCCUUGAUGUGUAGGAUAGGUGGGAGGCUUUGAAGUGUGGACGCCAGUCUGCAUGGAGCCGACCUUGAAAUACCACCCUUUAAUGUUUGAUGUUCUAACGUGGGCCCCUUACCGGGGUUGCGGACAGUGUCUGGUGGGUAGUUUGACUGGGGCGGUCUCCUCCUAAAGAGUAACGGAGGAGCACGAAGGUUGGCUAAUCCUGGUCGGACAUCAGGAGGUUAGUGCAAUGGCAUAAGCCAGCUUGACUGCGAGCGUGACGGCGCGAGCAGGUGCGAAAGCAGGUCAUAGUGAUCCGGUGGUUCUGAAUGGAAGGGCCAUCGCUCAACGGAUAAAAGGUACUCCGGGGAUAACAGGCUGAUACCGCCCAAGAGUUCAUAUCGACGGCGGUGUUUGGCACCUCGAUGUCGGCUCAUCACAUCCUGGGGCUGAAGUAGGUCCCAAGGGUAUGGCUGUUCGCCAUUUAAAGUGGUACGCGAGCUGGGUUUAGAACGUCGUGAGACAGUUCGGUCCCUAUCUGCCGUGGGCGCUGGAGAACUGAGGGGGGCUGCUCCUAGUACGAGAGGACCGGAGUGGACGCAUCACUGGUGUUCGGGUUGUCAUGCCAAUGGCACUGCCCGGUAGCUAAAUGCGGAAGAGAUAAGUGCUGAAAGCAUCUAAGCACGAAACUUGCCCCGAGAUGAGUUCUCCCUGACUCCUUGAGAGUCCUGAAGGAACGUUGAAGACGACGACGUUGAUAGGCCGGGUGUGUAAGCGCAGCGAUGCGUUGAGCUAACCGGUACUAAUGAACCGUGAGGCUUAACCUU